rnacentral:misc_RNA from 1 species
AAGUCGUAACAAGGUAUCCGUAGGUGAACCUGCGGAUGGAUCAUUAACAAAUUGGGAGAAAUCCUAACUUUAUGUGAAAAUGCAAUCAUGGUUUGUCACUGACUUAUCAUGGCUGAAUAACCAAACUUUGGGGGCAAAUUCUUGUAGUUUCCCCCAAAAUUCAUACCAAACCUAACUCUUUAUUACCAAAAGCCAAAAUUCAUUAUUAAUUUAAUACAACUUUUAACAAUGGAUCUCUUGGCUCUC